GAAUUUUGGACAAUGGGGGAAACCCUGAUCCAGCCAUCCCGCGUGUGCGAUGAAGGCCUUCGGGUUGUAAAGCACUUUUGUCAGGGAAGAAAAGGUUCUGGCUAAUACCCGGAACUGAUGACGGUACCUGAAGAAUAAGCACCGGCUAACUACGUGCCAGCAGCCGCGGUAAUACGUAGGGUGCAAGCGUUAAUCGGAAUUACUGGGCGUAAAGCGUGCGCAGGCGGUUCGGAAAGAAGGAUGUGAAAUCCCAGGGCUCAACCUUGGAACUGCAUUCUUAACUACCGAACUAGAGUAUGUCAGAGGGGGGUAGAAUUCCGCGUGUAGCAGUGAAAUGCGUAGAUAUGCGGAGGAAUACCGAUGGCGAAGGCAGCCCCCUGGGAUAAUACUGACGCUCAUGCACGAAAGCGUGGGUAGCAAACAGG
rnacentral:rRNA from 1 species